rnacentral:rRNA from 1 species
UACAGGAGGGCCAAGUGCUAUUCAACGUAACUGGGCGUAAAAGCAUGUAGUCGGAAUCUAUAUUAUAACCUUAAAUACGCAGGGGGAGCUUGCGGUCUAGGUUUGAGCAAUUAGAUAUCUAGGGUUAAGACGAGGUAAUUCGCCUUUUAAAUGUGCAGGGGUAAAAUCUUUAGAAAUUUAAAAUACGACCGAUGGUAGAAACCAAUUACCAGGCUAACCGACGAUGAGAUGCUAAAGUAUGGGGAUCAAAAAGG